AUCGGUGACUUCUCCUCGACACGCUAAGCACAUGGAGAACUUGACACGAGUAUCAGGAGCCCCCUGACUGAGAGACUAUCAUGCACCACUCUGAGGU